rnacentral:rRNA from 1 species
GUCGAACGGCAGCGUGUCCUUCGGGAUGACGGCGAGUGGCGAACGGGUGAGUAAUGUAUCGGAACGUACCCAGUAGCGGGGGAUAACUACGCGAAAGCGUGGCUAAUACCGCAUACGCCCUUAGGGGGAAAGGUGGGGAUUCUUCGGAACCUGUCACUAUUGGAGCGGCCGAUAUCGGAUUAGCUAGUUGGUGGGGUAAAGGCCUACCAAGGCGACGAUCCGUACCUGGUUUGAGAGGACGACCAGCCACACUGGGACUGAGACACGGCCCAGACUCCUACGGGAGGCAGCAGUGGGGAAUUUUGGACAAUGGGGGCAACCCUGAUCCAGCCAUUUCGCGUGUGCGAUGAAGGCCUUCGGGUUGUAAAGCACUUUUG